rnacentral:lncRNA from 1 species
CCUCUCUCUUUUUCCCUAGCCAGUUUCUCAAAAUGAGAGGUGGAACCACCUUUGGUACAACUUGGUACUUCCGAACUGGGCGAUUCAAGGUGGUACGGCCUUCCAUGAUCGGACUCUUAUCUUCCCUACAACUAAUAUUAGAGCCAAAUUUGUAAAGAUCCUUGGUGUUCCAAGCAAUAAAGGUAUACAAACAAAUAAGACACAAACUCAGGAUUUAUAAAAGAGUACACAAUUAUAGAAGUUUGAUAUAGUGGUUCUUUAAUAGUGGAUAGCUCUUGGACUAGAGCAAUAAAAAUGGACUCUUAGAGUGGAAAGAAGUUAUGAUGGAUGUGUAAACUCUUGAUGGAACAAGCUGCAAGAUUGGCACAAG